AUGGAGGAUCCUGAUCGUGAUAUGGAGAUGGAUGAUCCUGAUCCUGCUUCUCUUCAAGCAGCGAUGGAGGUUCCUAUCACAGCUUCUCUAGGGCCCAUGGGCCCUCUCCUCCGGAAACUCCAUUCCAUCGGUCCUGAAGAGUGUCCGCAAGAUGAGAUCCGUCCUCUCAUGGAGUUAUUCAUCUCCCUGAAGGAUCUGUCGGACGACGACGAUGCUAGCUUCACCAGCGGAUGGUGGAUGAAGAUUGUUCGGGAGCUUUGCUACGACAUGGAGGAUCACCUGGACGAGUUCGUUGGGGCCGGCACUGAUCUCGAUUUUUCAGAACUACUUGCUCGCGCAAAGGAUGCGAGUGAAAGACGCCAACGUUUCCAGUGGUUUCCUCUCAAAACCAUCAAGCAAGCGGACCGAGGGGGAUCCGGGGUCAACUGGCUCACCUCCGAAGCGAACGCCGAGCUGCCAGUUCCGAUCUAUGGCCGUAGCAAAGCUGGUGUUGUGGAGCUUCCAAACAGACUUGUCGAGCUGCUGGCUUUAGACGGCGACGACAAGCAGACACUCAAGGUGAUACCCAUAACUGGGUGUGCAGGUGCUGGAAAGACAACAGUAGCCAGAACCUUGUUCCACAAUCACGGUGGGAAAUUUCAGUGCCGCGCUUUCCUAAUUGUGUCUCGGAAUCCAGACAUGAGGGCAUUUUUCACCAACAUGAUCUCACAACUUAAGGCGCCAUUACCCCUUGGCUUUCCUGAUGUGCCGGACCUUAUUGAUGCUGUCAGUAAACAUCUGCAAGGCAAAAGGUACUUCAUCGUAGUUGAUGAUUUAUGGACUGCAUCAGUAUGGGAUAUUAUUAGCGGUGUUUUUCCGACUGGUGAUCGUUCUAGCAGAGUAAUUACAACCACACAAAUUGAUGAUGUAGCACAGGCAUGCUGUAGUUAUGAGCAAGAUUAUAUAUAUAAGAUGGAACCUCUUAAUGAUCAUGAGUCUAGAAAGUUAUUCGUCAGUACAGUGUUUGGCUCUGAAGAUGGUUGUCCAACAGAUAUUAAACCAGUUUUAUACGAGAUUAUCAGGAAAUGUGGCGGUUUACCAUUAGCAAUUGUAAAUAUGGCCAUUCUCUUCGCAGGUGAAUCAAACAACGUAAUGGAAAAAUGGAAGCACAUACAGGAUUCUUUGCCGUCCACUUCGGACAUGAUCUGCAAUAGUCUUCCACACCUUAUGUACAAUAGUCUCCCACCUCGUUUGAAGACAUGCUUGCUAUAUCUCAGCAUGUAUGCACAGGGCUGCGUGAUCAAGAAGGAUGAAUUGGUGAAGCAGUGGGUGGCUGAAGGUUUUCUCGGUCCUGUGGCUGGGAGAGACCCAGAAGAGAUUGCUGACGGCUAUUUUGAUGAGCUUGUCAGCAGAGGAAUGGUCCAAGCUGUGGACACCAAUAAUAACGGCAGGGUGUUGUCUUGUACUGUUCACCAGAUGGUACUGGACUUUAUUAGGCAGAAAUCCAUGGAGGAGAAUUUCAUUAUCACUGUGGACUAUUUUCAAUCAACUCUUGCACUUCCUGACAAAGUUCGCCGAUUAUCCGUCCAGUUUGGAGGGGUAAAAGGUGCAUGCAUGCCACAAAGUAUCGUAACAUCCCAAGUCAGAUCACUUAUGUUUUGGGGUUUCUUUAAAUGUGUACCUUACAUUAGGGAUUAUGGACUUCUUCGAGUUCUGAUUCUUCAUAUUUGGGCUGAUCGAGACAAGAAGAGUUUUGACCUCACCACAAUCGGGAAGCUAUUUCAACUAAAAUAUCUCAAGAUUGAGUGUAAUAUCACCAUCAAGCUUCCAGGCAAGAUUCGAAAGCUGCAAUACUUGGGUACACUGCAAGUAGAUGCAAGAUUAUCGGCUGUUCCAUCAGAUAUUGUUAAUCUGAAGAGAUUACUCCACCUCCGCAUUCCAAGCGAGUGUAUUCUUUCCCGUGUACUUGCCCAACUGACAUCUCUUUGCAGUCUGGGGUAUUUUGAUAUCGGCAGUCACUCAGAAGAAAAUGUAUUGCAUCUUGGACGGCUGACCAAUCUCCAGGAUCUUCAGCUCACAUGUUGUACGGUACAGCAAGCAGAAAAUCUGGAUAGAAAUGUGCAACUCCUUGGCUCAAUCCUAGAGAAACUCACCGCCUUGCAGUCCCUGACUCUGGUACCAGCUGCUUCAGGCUCCUUUUGUGUAAAUAUCCCUGAGGAUGGCUUCAACAUGGCGUGUCCUCCUCCGGAUCUGCUUCUUCAGAGGAUGGAGCUGUCACGGCGCUGCUGCAUCUUCUCCAGCCUACCUGAGUGGUUUGGAGAGCUCAGAAGACUCUGCGUUCUAAAGAUUGGAAUUAGGGGACUGUCGAUGAAUGAUACUGACAUGCUGAAAGGACUCCCUGCCCUCGCUGCCCUUACCUUAUAUAUACAGACAGCUCCUGCUGAAAGGAUCUUCAUCGAUAAGGGAGGAUUCCAGGUACUCACCUACUUCAAGCUCAUGGGUGCUGCGCCAUGCCUGUCCUUUGUGCCAGGAGCAAUGGCCAAAGUCCAAAAGCUUACGAUGGGCUUCAAUUCAAACCAAUGGAGACCAUAUACCUUUGAAACUGUUGGCUUCAGUCACUUGACAGGCCUUAAAGAGGUGACUGUAAAAUUAGGAGUUCGGGAUGAUGAAGAAUUUGACAUAAAAGCUGCAGAGUCUGCGUUGGAGGCUGCCAUUAAGUAUCACCCCAAUACUCCUAUACUCAGAGUACUAUUCGUAGAUGUGAUCUUCUAUGGUGGGAAGGAGAAUAAGAGUACACAGGCUCAAGGCAAGAGCAAAAUCACGGGACGUUCGGAGGAAAAUCGGCCGGAGAUUAACGUAGCCGACGGCGAGUUCGGCGCCUUCCAGCGCCUCGCCGCUGACUUGCUCCUUCACCUGCUCCCAUCCUCCGAAGCCACCGCCGCGCCGACGAGGGACCUCUCCAUCGCCUGGACGUGCCGCCUGAUCGACACCUUCCUCAUCUGCCUCGAGGAGUUCCGCUACAUGCUCCUCGGAUUUCCCCUCGGGCGGCCCCCGUACGACCUCCUCGUUGCCGACUUCCUUUACCGCGCCAUCAUGGCGCUUGAUCUCUGCAACGCGCUGCGCGAGGGCGUGGACCUGCUCCGCCAGUGGCGCAAGCACCUCGCCAUUGCCGCUGCAGCGCUCGCUUCCACGCCGGGCGCCCCGCUUGGGGAGGGCCAGAUCCGCCGCGCCCGCAAGGCGCUCACCGACCUCACCAUCCGUAUGAUCCAAGACAAGGACGCCAACGGCGGACAGCGAAGUCACUCCUUCGGCCGGGCCAGCAACGAUAAGGACGGCGGGAGGCAGCAGAAGGGCCACCACCGCAGAAGCAGCGGCUCUCGCUUCAGCUCCCUCUCGUGGAGCGUGUCCCGGUCCUGGUCCGCCUCGCGCCAGCUACGGGCCAUCGGGGGCAACCUGCCGGUACCCUCCGCGCAGGAUGCCACGGGCGGCCUCGCCUCCGCCAUGAGCACCAUUGGUGUCGUGCUCUUCUUCACAACCUGCUUGCUCGUCGCUGCCAUCCCCUGCCAGGACCGCGGUGUCCAGGCGCACUCCGAGGAGUUCAAGAAGAAGGAACGGAAGCACUCACGCGGGCUGCUCAAGGAGAUACAACAGAUGGAGCGAUGGUCCCAGCAGCUCAUGGAGAUCACGGACGUCCCGCAGUUUCCCCUGAGCGAGGAGAAGGAUGCCGAGGUGCGGGGGGCCGCACAGGAGCUCGUGCAGGUGUGUCAGACGCUCAAGGGCGGUCUUGACUCGCUGGAGCGACAGGUGCGCGAGAUGUUCCACCAGAUCGUGCACACCACGAUAGAAAUCUACAACUGCUUGAGUAUGCCCAACUGUUCAGCUAAGAAGUUUCCUCGGGCCAAACAUCGUUACAUGUUCAUCUAA
rnacentral:rRNA from 1 species